GAAAUGCGAUAAGUAAUGUGAAUUGCAGAAUUCAGUGAAUCAUCGAAUCUUUGAACGCACCUUGCGCUCCUUGGUAUUCCUUGGAGCAUGCCUGUUUGAGUAUCAUGAAAUCUUCAAAGUAAAUCUUUUGUUAACUCAAUUGGUUUCUACUUUGGUAUUGGAGGUCUUUGCAGCUUCACACCUGCUCCUCUUUGUUCAUUAGCUGGAUCUCAGUGUUAUGCUUGGUUCCACUCGGCGUGAUAAGUUAUCUAUCGCUGAGGACACCGUAAAAGGUGGCCAAGGUAAAUGCAGAUGAACCGCUUCUAAUAGUCCAUUGACUUGGACAAUACUUUUAUGAUCUGAUCUGAAAUCAGGUAGGACUACCCGCUGAACUUAAGC
rnacentral:misc_RNA from 1 species